ACGUAGGGUGCAAGCGUUAAUCGGAAUUACUGGGCGUAAAGCGUGCGCAGGCGGUUUUGUAAGUCAGAUGUGAAAUCCCCGGGCUCAACCCGGGAACUGCGUCCGAUACUGGGAGGCUUGAAUCCGGGAGAGGGAUGUGGAAUUCCAGGUGUAGCGGUGAAAUGCGUAGAUAUCUGGAGGAACACCGGUGGCGAAGGCGGCGUCCUGGACCAACACUGACACUGAGGAGCGAAAGCCAGGGGAGCAAACGGGA
rnacentral:rRNA from 1 species